rnacentral:rRNA from 1 species
UGGACGCGAGUCUGACGGAGCAACGCCGCGUGAGUGAAGAAGGUUUUCGGAUCGUAAAGCUCUGUUGCCAAGGAAGAACGCCUUGGGGAGUCACUGCCCUGAGGGUGACGGUACUUGAGAAGAAAGCCCCGGCUAACUACGUGCCAGCAGCCGCGGUAAUACGUAGGGGGCAAGCGUUGUCCGGAAUUAUUGGGCGUAAAGCGCGCGCAGGCGGCCGCUUAAGUUUGGUGUUUAAGCCCGGGGCUCAACCCCGGAUCGCACCGAAAACUGGGUGGCUUGAGUGCAGGAGAGGAAAGCGGAAUUCCACGUGUAGCGGUGAAAUGCGUAGAGAUGUGGAGGAACACCAGUGGCGAAGGCGGCUUUCUGGACUGUAACUGACGCUGAGGCGCGAAAGCGUGGGGAGCAAACAGGAUUAGAUACCCUGGUAGUCCACGCCGUAAAACGAUGAAUGCUAGGUGUUAGGGGUUUCGAUACCCUUGGUGCCGAAGUCAACACAUUAAGCAUUCCGCCUGGGGAGUUACGCUCGCAAGA